UACGUAGGGUGCGAGCGUUAAUCGGAAUUACUGGGCGUAAAGCGUGCGCAGGCGGUUUUGUAAGCCAGAUGUGAAAGCCCCGGGCUUAACCUGGGAAUGGCAUUUGGGACUGCAAGGCUGGAGUGUGGCAGAGGAGACUGGAAUUCCUGGUGUAGCAGCGAAAUGCGUAGAUAUCAGGAGGAACACCGAUGGCGAAGGCAGGUCUCUGGGCUGACACUGACGCUCAUGCACGAAAGCGUGGGGAGCAAACAGG
rnacentral:rRNA from 1 species